UCUCUUCAGGAAACACCACCACACCACCACCACAACAACAACAACCCUUAUUAUCAAAACCACCAAUCUCAUUUACAACACCUUCACCCUCAAGUAUCUAACACUAGUAGCGGUGGUGCUACUACAACUACAACAAGUUCUACAAGGUUGAAUAACAUUAAUUAUGGGGUUUCCAUGCUUGAUGUGUCAUCUGAAGGGUUGAGACCAAUCAAGGGAAUUCCAGUGUAUCACAACCGUUCAUUCCCUUUUCUCCCAGUAGAGCAUACAAGAGACAUGGAUCAUCAUCAUCCCAAGAUGUGUUUAUAUCAUCACAUGCCUUCAUAUCCUUCUCUAUCUUCUUCUUCUCCUUCCUCUUCUUCCCCUUCACCCUACUUGGCCACCGCGGCGCCCGGUUUGGAUCCCAUGUCCUUAUUAAACUCCGGCACCCCCAACGGCCCCGCGGCGGCAUAUAGGGCUGCUGCAGCCACAAUGUUUAAUGGGAUUUCCGGUGAGGCUUUCAAAUCUCAUCAUCCAUUGCACCACCACUCACACUAUGGGGUUGGACCCUCUCAUCAUGAGGCUACUUCAGCAGGGCUGAUGAGAUCAAGGUUCUUGCCUAAAUUACCAACAAAAAGGAGCAUGAGAGCACCUAGAAUGAGAUGGACAAGCACCCUCCAUGCUAGAUUUGUUCAUGCUGUUGAACUUCUUGGUGGCCAUGAAAGUAAAGAUUUUGUUUUUCCCUUUAUUUUUUACUACCCCAAACUUUUUCUACCAUUUCUUCUUUCAAUGCCCUUCUUUUAAAAAAAUGAUUUUUAUCUUGACUUUAGUCUCUCAUUUGCUUUCUUUUCUUUUAAUGAAUAAAUGUAUAUAUGUAUGCACUUUAGUUAUAUGUAUCUCUUUUAGGCUUUUGGCUAAUGCAUCUAGAUUGUGAAUUUUAGGAGCUACUCCAAAGUCAGUUCUGGAGCUCAUGGAUGUGAAGGAUCUUACAUUAGCUCAUGUAAAAAGCCAUUUGCAGGUAUUUGCUUUUCAAUAUCUUUUUUUUUUCUAUCUCUAUUUAGUGGGGAACAAUUUUUUGGGGUUCAACUCCUCUCCUAAAUCAGGUUUUUAGUCAGAAUGGAGAGUAUUGUUUUUUCUUUUAAUUUUAAGGAUAAUGUCUUCUCACUAUAAAUAAAGGAUACAAUUGUCAUUAAUUUUUUUUUAUUUGUUAUUUCAUAGUAUUCUCCUCUGCAGUACCUGAGGGAGGAUUACAAUUCCCGUAUUUUGUGUAUUUUAUUUACUGGCACUGUAGCCAAUGGAGAAAGCAGUGAAUGUGGGAGUAGUGGAUGAAUUUAAAGACUGUAGUAGUGAGCUAAGUAAGGAGCCUUUAACUUCUGAAUUCUGAAACGACCAGACAGAGACACAGCUUCUGCAUAGAGAGAAAGAAAGAGAGAGAGAAACAAAAACAGACAAAAAAGUCAUCAUUUUCCAAUAAUACACUUCUCAUUACAAUCUCAUCAAAUAUCAACCUCGUGAUUAAUGAUUAAACCCAGACAAUCCCAGAGAAGAGAGAGAAAGAGAAAGGGAUCUAAAUGGGAAUCACCAGUUUUUAAUUUAGAUCUUUUAAUUUUUAUUUAAGGAAAAGAAUAGGGCUUAUAAUUAAUUAUAUAGUUCUAUAUGUGUAUACUUAUGUACUUGUAGUUAUAUAUGUUUCAAGUGCAGAAAUGACAUUAUAAGUAAAAUGCUUUGUUUUUAUUAUUUCUUCUCAGAUGUAUCGAACUGUUAAGACCACUAACAAACCUCCUGCAUCUUCAGGUAAUUCUUAUAAUUUAUUUUAUUUUAUAGCAGACUUAUCAUUUAUUUUACUAACAUAUAUAUUUUUGAAGGAAAUGCCACUUAUUUUCAGGAUGUGUUUUCUACUAUUACUUUAAAUUUUUCCUCUUGAAAGUUUUCACUGUUAUAUAUCAGAAGUCCAUAAGACUCUACAUUACUCCAAAGUCCAAACCAAACAAUUUAAAAAAUUAUGAAGAUGCAUGUAUGCAUGCAAACAUGUUGUAAUUUCAAUUUUGGAGUCAUGAAUUUUUUCUUAGUGCAGGUCUUUCAGAUGGAUCUGGAGAGGAUGACAUGUCUCCUAUCGGCAGCAGCGGUAGCGGCGGUCCACGUCAAUUUCCGGACCAAAGAAGCCUACCGGAUCGGCCAGUGCAACAAGACAUGGACUACACUUCCACUACCACCACCACUCUAUGGAGUAACUCUUCAAGGUACCAUUACCAAUUCCUCUUUAAUUCUCUAAUUAGAGAGUAGAGACCACAUUUUAGUUGUACAUGAUUUUUUAUGUGCUUAUGUUGAGGUAUACAUUAAGGAUAAUUUUGGGUUACUGGGUUGGUUGAUUUACUUUUACUUUUGCAUGAGAUCUAUGCAAACCCACGUCCACCAUACUCUCUUUUAUGAAGAAUAAAAAGGGUUCUUGUGGCAGCUUUUACUUUACUUGUGUUUGAUUUUCCACUUUUCUUUUGUUUCAUCUAUAUAUCUUUUGUACCUUGGUGAAAUGUUUUGCCUUAGAUAUAUAACCAUUUCUAAGGAAAGCUACAUGACAUAAUCUAACGUUAAUUAGGAUUUAAAGAAAGCAACCCUCAACCAUUCUCUUUUUGCCUCUUUUCUUUUCUCCCUUUAGAAUUUUUUGUGUGUGCUAGUCCUUUAAGGAAAUACUAACAAUCUUGUAAUGCAUAAUUGAUCUUUAACUACGGAAUAUUAUUAAAAAAUAUGUGGCUUCGGUAGGUUUUGCAUAUAACCCAAACAAUUACUUCCUUCAUGUACGUUAAGUAUCUUCAAUCAAGUAUUAUGAAUUCAUGACAAGUGAUAAUGUCAAUGUUGGUGAUCAUUGUUGAAUUAGCCAUGAUUNNNNNNNNNNNNNNNNNNNNNNNNNNNNNNNNNNNNNNNNNNNNNNNNNNNNNNNNNNNNNNNNNNNNNNNNNNNNNNNNNNNNNNNNNNNNNNNNNNNNUUCCCUUCAUAUAAGCCCUCCAAGCACCACUUCUUCCUCUUCUUCUUUGAUUUGUAACAACACCACAACUCAAGUAAGUGGUGGUGGCACCAAUUAUGAAGCACAUAAUUCAUCCCAAGCCACUAAUUUUUCUUCAAGAACUGUGCCUCAAGCUCAUACUGAGCUCUCUCUUGGAAGAAAUUUCUGUGGUGGAGGAACAUCUCUUCAGGAAACACCACCACACCACCACCACAACAACAACAACCCUUAUUAUCAAAACCACCAAUCUCAUUUACAACACCUUCACCCUCAAGUAUCUAACACUAGUAGCGGUGGUGCUACUACAACUACAACAAGUUCUACAAGGUUGAAUAACAUUAAUUAUGGGGUUUCCAUGCUUGAUGUGUCAUCUGAAGGGUUGAGACCAAUCAAGGGAAUUCCAGUGUAUCACAACCGUUCAUUCCCUUUUCUCCCAGUAGAGCAUACAAGAGACAUGGAUCAUCAUCAUCCCAAGAUGUGUUUAUAUCAUCACAUGCCUUCAUAUCCUUCUCUAUCUUCUUCUUCUCCUUCCUCUUCUUCCCCUUCACCCUACUUGGCCACCGCGGCGCCCGGUUUGGAUCCCAUGUCCUUAUUAAACUCCGGCACCCCCAACGGCCCCGCGGCGGCAUAUAGGGCUGCUGCAGCCACAAUGUUUAAUGGGAUUUCCGGUGAGGCUUUCAAAUCUCAUCAUCCAUUGCACCACCACUCACACUAUGGGGUUGGACCCUCUCAUCAUGAGGCUACUUCAGCAGGGCUGAUGAGAUCAAGGUUCUUGCCUAAAUUACCAACAAAAAGGAGCAUGAGAGCACCUAGAAUGAGAUGGACAAGCACCCUCCAUGCUAGAUUUGUUCAUGCUGUUGAACUUCUUGGUGGCCAU
rnacentral:lncRNA from 1 species